CAAUAGCGUAUAUUAAAGUUGUUGCAGUUAAAAAGCUCGUAGUUGGAUUUCUGGUGGGAGCGAUCGGUCUGGCGCUUAGCGCGAGUACUUGCCUCGUCUCCGGCCAUCCUUGGGGAAAGUCUGUCUGGCAUUAAGUUGUCGGGCAGAGGAUCCUCAUCGUUUACUGUGAAAAAAUUAGAGUGUUCAAAGCAGGCUUAUGCCGUUGAAUAUAUUAGCAUGGAAUAAUAAGAUAGGACUUUGGUACUAUUUUGUUGGUUUGCGCACCAAAGUAAUGAUUAAUAGGGACAGUUGGGGGUAUUCGUAUUCCGUUGUCAGAGGUGAAAUUCUUGGAUUUACGGAAGACGAACUACUGCGAAAGCAUUUACCAAGGAUGUUUUCAUUAA
rnacentral:rRNA from 1 species